rnacentral:rRNA from 1 species
GAUGAACGCUGGCGGCGUGCCUAAUACAUGCAAGUCGAGCGAACGGACGAGAAGCUUGCUUCUCUGGUGUUAGCGGCGGACGGGUGAGUAACACGUGGAUAACCUACCUAUAAGACCGGGAUAACUUCGGGAAACCGGAGCUAAUACCGGAUGAUAUUUUGAACCGCAUGGUUCAAAAGUGAAAGACGGUCUUGCUGUCACUUAUAGAUGGAUCCGCGCUGCAUUAGCUAGUUGGUAAGGUAACGGCUUACCAAGGCAACGAUGCAUAGCCGACCUGAGAGGGUGAUCGGCCACACUGGAACUGAGACACGGUCCAGACUCCUACGGGAGGCAGCAGUAGGGAAUCUUCCGCAAUGGGCGAAAGCCUGACGGAGCAACGCCGCGUGAGUGAUGAAGGUCUUCGGAUCGUAAAACUCUGUUAUUAGGGAAGAACAUAUGUGUAAGUAACUGUGCACAUCUUGACGGUACCUAAGCAGAAAGCCACGGCUAACUACGU